rnacentral:misc_RNA from 1 species
GUGAAAUUCUGUUGUUGAGCAGGGAAGCCUUCUUGAGGUGUUGCCUUGAAGGGAGCAGCUCCAAAAGGGUCUUCAUUAAACUGGUUCAUUGAAGUAGAGGUAGAUGAUUCAGCCACAAAGGUUGUCCCAUAUCCUGAGUUCGUUGGCAUGUCAGCUUCAGAACUGGAGGCGAAAGAAGUAACCGGUACCAGAGCCAAAGAAUUGACAAGAUCUGAUGCUUCAUCUCCGAACAAGUCCGGCUGAGAAGUGCUUGAAACGGGAGGACCUGCCACAAAACCACGUGGAUCAAACUCAUCAAAAUCAUCGGCUUCCUUGUUUUGAGUGGAUGUAGGUACACCAGCUACAUGAUUGUGAACUUGACUUGUAUUUUCAGGGGGGGCUGCUUUAUAUGCUGGAGGUGAAUAUGUUUUUGAUGUUUGUGCCACAGCAACCCCUCCAUCCCUUGAACUUUCACUAUGCUCAGAGUCAGGUUUAUCUCUUAUUGCUUCUUCAUAACUCGGCGGUGUUCGAGUAAUCUGCUCAGAUAGCUUGCGUUCAAGUCGUCUUUCAAUGCUUUCAUGCUGAAAAGAAUCAUCAGCUCUGCCAGCUCGGGAUGUAUA